rnacentral:rRNA from 1 species
GACGAACGCUGGCGGCGUGCUUAACACAUGCAAGUCGAACGGACAGGCGCUGCUCUUGUGGGGUGCUCGAUUGGCGAACGGGUGAGUAACACGUGAGUAUCCUGCCCUUGACUUUGGGAUAACUUCAGGAAACUGGGGAGAUAACCGCGUAGAAUCUCUUGAGCCGCGUGGGGGGUUGGAAAGUUUCGGCGGUGGGGGCUGGUCUCGAGGCUUCCGAGCUGGAUGGGGGGGUGGGGGCUUACAAGGGGUUGGAAGGGUAGCCGGCCUGGGAGGUUGACCGGCCACAUUGGGCCUGAGGUACGGCCCAGACUCCUACGGGCGGCAGAAGGGGGGAGUAUUGCGGAGUGGGCGGGAGCCUGAUGCGGCAGCGCCGCGUGCGGGAUGACGGCCUUCGGGUUGUAAACCGCUUUCGCCUGUGACGAAGCGUGAGUGACGGUAAUGAGUAAGGAAGCACCGGCUAACUACGUG